UUUUUUUUUUUUUUUUUUUGAGACAGAGUCUCACUCUGUCUUCCAGGCUAGAGUGCAAUGAUGCGAUCCCGGCUUACUGCAACCCCCACCUCCUGGGUUCAAGUAAUUCUCCUGCCUCAGCCUCCCGAGUAGCUAGGGUUACAGGCACCUAUCACCAUGCCUGGCUAAUUUUUGUUUUUUUAGUAGAGACAGGGUUUCACCAGGUUGGUCUGGCUGGUCCUGAACUCCUGACCUCAGGUGAUCCACCCGCCUCGGCCUCCCAAAGUGCUGGAAUUACAGGCAUGAGCCACCAUGCCCGGCCAAGAGCCCUCUUUUUAGAGCCUUUAAGAAAGGUCAUGCUAGCUUCUCAGCCUCCCGAGUAGCUGGGAUUAUAGGUAUCCAUGCCUGACACAUUUUUAUAUUUUUUGUAGAAACAGGGUUUCAUUUCACCAUGUUGGCCAGGCUGAUCUCAAACUCCUGACCUCAGGUGAUCCAUCUGCCUCGGCCUCCCAAAGUACUGAGAUUACAGGUGUGAGCCACCAUACCAGGCCUGAAAGUCUUUUAAAAAAUAUUUUUGAGGCCAGGCACAGUGGCUUACGCCUGUAAUCCCAGCACUUAGGCUGAGGCAGGUGGAUUACCUGAGGUCAGGAGUUUGAGACCAGCCUGGCCAACAUGGCGAAACCCUGUCUCUACUAAUAAUAUAAAAAAAUUAGCCGGUUGUGUUGGCACGUGCCUGUAAUCCCAGCUACUCGGGAGGCUGAGGCAGGAGAAUUGCUUGAACCCAGGUGGUGGAGGUUGCAAUGAGCCAAGAUUGGGCUACUGCACUCCAGUCUGGGCAACAGAGCAAGACUCCGUCUCAAUUAAAAAAAAAAAAAAAAAGGCCGGGCGCGGUGGCUCACGCUUGUAAUCCCAGCACUUUGGGAGGCCGAGGCGGGCGGAUCACGAGGUCAGGAGAUGGAGACCACGGUGAAACCCUGUCUCUACUAAAAAUACAAAAAAUUAGCCGGGCGUGGUGGUGGGCGCCUGUAGUCCCAGCUACUCGGAGAGGCUGUGGCAGGAGAAUGGCGUGAACCCGGGAGGCGGAGCUUGCAGUGAGCCGAGAUCGCGCCACUGCACUCCAGCCUGGGUGACAGAGUGAGACUCCAUCUCAAAAAAAAAAAAAAAAAGAUUUUUGAGUCUUUUCAUUUUCAAAAUUGACUCAUCGUAAAUUCAAACAGCAUAAAUCUUAAUCUUUCUCUCAUCCUUUCCCCCCAGCUGCUCAGUUCCUCUUUCUGAAAGCCACCAUGUCUAAUCUGUUUUUUGAAUGUUCUUGAGCUGGUUUGUGCUGACACAA